rnacentral:lncRNA from 1 species
UCGAUCGUCAUUUUUUUUUUUUUUGAGAGAUAGAUAGCACGUUAUCCGCUUCGUUUAUUUCAUUUAGAAAUAAACUUAGCUGAAAAAAUAAAUCAACUAGGAUUCGAACUUGGGACUUCAGAUACCAACCAGCAAGUCCUUUACCAUUUGCUCUAGGGACGGUCGGUUACAUUGAUUGCCAUUAAUGUUUCAUUCUAGUUAUAUUCAUAUAUAUUUCAC